rnacentral:precursor_RNA from 1 species
AUUGAAACUUCAUCAGUUGAGGUGGUUGGGACAUGUGUUACGAAUGUCUAACUACCGACUGCCUCGACGAGCUUAUGUUUUGCG